GUGUGUGUGUGUGUGUGUGUGUGUGUGUGUGUGUGUGUGUGUGUGUGUGUGUGUGUGUAUGUGUAUGUGUGUGUGUGUGUGUGUGUGUGUGCGCGUGUGCAUGUAUGUCUGGAUGAAUGUAUAUGCAGGUGUGUGUAUACCUGUCUUACGAAGACAGCCAAUAUCAUUUACACCAUGAAAAUUAGUCUAUUUACGCUACUAGAAUUUAUAAUACUAUCGGCCUUAUCAGCAUAGGUCUGUAAUAUAUUCUUGCACGCCACUACCAAUGUUAUAAUCGUCAUUAUUGAUAUAUUUUAAUCAUCCUUGCAAUAAUAGUAGUAAUAACACCUACAAGACAGCAAAAUUAGGCAUAUGCUUUCACCUAAUUCCUACCGAAUGCAUGCUCACAGACGUGCCUGUGACUCGCCACAGAACGACCUGAGCACAAGAUUAGAGCGAGCAAGAACACCACCAUUCCCUGUCGUAGAAGGCCAAGGGAAACUAGCUCUUCAAGGCCUCACAUUACAGCUGGGAGUGCAUGAUCAUGACACUAGAGACUGAAAUCAUGCAACGUAGUACGAAAGGCAGUGUUUUUGCAUGACACUUGGAUUGUGUAAAGAAAAUCUAGCCUCUUUUGAUUUGUCUGCUUCAUGGAAUGUUUGUCAUCAAGCACUGCGAGCGCAUAUCAAGGAAGGAACCGUCCCAAGAUUCGUGCUGGCGAAGACGGAUUACUUAUGCUGUUGCAUCCAUGAGCAGAAGACUAUAGUGUUAUGAACUUGUUUCCAUUAUCAAGGAUUUUAUCCUUUGUGAUUUUUUUUGUAUCUCGUGAGACAUUUCUAAGUAUAUAUUUGGGAAUAUAUAUUUUACAAUAUGAA